rfam:Flavobacterium branchiophilum FL-15, complete genome.
GUUGUGCUGCGUGAGGGAUAGCAGUGGAAAUCCUUUUUUGGCCCUUUUUUUUGGGCCAAAAAAGAUUGAAACGAAUAGCCCGACCCGAA